rnacentral:rRNA from 2 species
GGUUUAAUUCGAAGCAACGCGAAGAACCUUACCAGGUCUUGACAUCCUCUGACAAUCCUAGAGAUAGGACGUCCCCUUCGGGGGCAGAGUGACAGGUGGUGCAUGGUUGUCGUCAGCUCGUGUCGUGAGAUGUUGGGUUAAGUCCCGCAACGAGCGCAACCCUUGAUCUUAGUUGCCACCAUUCAGUUGGGCACUCUAAGGUGACUUUUCUGUUUACAAACCGGAGGAAGGUGGGGAUGACGUCAAAUCAUCUUUUUUUUUUAUGACCUGGGCUACACACGUGCUACAAUGGACAGAACAAAGGGCAGCGAAACCGCGAGGUUAAGCCAAUCCCACAAAUCUGUUCUCAUUUCUGAUUGUAGUCUGCAACUCGACUGCGAGAAGCUGGAAUCGCUAGUAAUCGCGGAUCAGCAUGCCGCGGUGAAUACUUUCCCGGGCCUUUGUACACACCCGCCCGUCACACCCACCGAGAGUUUGUUAACACCCGAAGUCGGUGAGGUUAACCUUUUUAGGAGCCAAGCCGCCGAAGGGUGGGACAGA